UCAUCAGUUGCAAAUGGGAAAUUAAGACUC
rnacentral:piRNA from 1 species